rfam:Candidatus Muproteobacteria bacterium RBG_16_64_10 RBG_16_scaffold_34551, whole genome shotgun sequence.
GGCCGGUCCCCUCGGUGACGGAGGCUUGUGAACCCGGUCAGGUCCGGAAGGAAGCAGCCGCAGCGGGCAUUCCGGGUACCGGGGCCAGGCUGGCUCGA